UUACUGGUUUCCAUAUGAUCACUGAAGUUAAGCAACAUUGAGCCUGGUCAGUACAGAGAUGUGUGACCACUUGGAAAUACCAGGU